UGGACAUGCCUGUCUAUUUGGCCUGAAGCAGAUCUGCUCCUGUUGGCUGCUGCUGCUGCUGAAGAACUCUCCUCCCAGCUCACUACAGCUAAUGACACACACCUUGUCUCCCAGGUGCAGAGGGAGCAGAGGGAGAAGAGCUGAGAACCACCAGCCACCAACCACUCCGCGCCGGUUCGGGGGAAAAUGACCACCAGCUGAGUUUCACUUGGGGAGAGGAGGCUCUGCGGCUGAUCUUCACGGACAAGAUGUUGGACAGAGACUUCACGCUGCUCUCUGAAUAUGGAAUCCAGCAUCUGUCCGUGAUCAAGAUGGCGUUGAAGGUUCCUGGAGGACUGACGGCCUGACAGAGACGACGUCCUCCCAUACCACCAUUGUGCUGCUUCACGAAGCUACUUCCUGUUUACAAAUGUCGAACCUUUAUUCCAAUAAACCUUUUAGUGAUGUUCCCAA